rnacentral:rRNA from 1 species
UACGUAGGGAGCUAGCGUUGUUCGGAAUUACUGGGCGUAAAGCGCACGUAGGCGGCUUUUUAAGUCAGGGGUGAAAUCCCGGAGCUCAACUCCGGAACUGCCCUUGAAACUGGGAAGCUAGAAUCUUGGAGAGGCGAGUGGAAUUCCGAGUGUAGAGGUGAAAUUCGUAGAUAUUCGGAAGAACACCAGUGGCGAAGGCGACUCGCUGGACAAGUAUUGACGCUGAGGUGCGAAAGCGUGGGGAGCAAACAGG